GCCAGGUAAUCAGCGGCAGGUCAGGCAGGGAUAGUUCUUGUAUUUUUAUUAGCUAUUAGAAUGAUUUCUUUUUCUGAGAAAGGAGAAGUAGAAGAUGCUGAAUCACAGUGGGGUGGAGGUCAGUGGACUUGAGCUUUGACAGUAAAAGAUAUGCAACAGUUCUCAAAAACACGACUUUGCACACCAAAUAAGGCCAUGACUGGAAAAUGCGGCAUCUGGUUGGAUGGAAGGAUUAAGCCUACGUGACAAAAAGCCUAUAAAAUCCAUGGCAUAAAGAGAAACGAGAGACUCCUUAACAGUUGCUGCCGGAGGCUCUGUCCAAUUGUUUUUCUGAGCUCCAGAAGACCGAGACUGCGGAGGAGCAGGCCAAGAGAGCAACUCAUCAUUGGGUGCUCCACUGCAGGCCAGCUUGAAUCCUGGCCUAAAGGAAAGAGCAACAAAUGAUGGCUCAAAAUGUCACCACAACCAACUCGAGCCAGCUGAGAACAGGAUUCAUAUCCACGCUACGCCUCUCCAGUCCCUCCUGACCACCACUACCACAGAUGAUCUUCUCUUGACCAUACGCCUACUUACCCUGCCAGUCCCACUAGCCAGGUUGAUGCACAGUCCUACAUACUGCUUCAUCUCACCAUUGUCCUCUACUCUGUUCUUCUCAGCCGGUUUCCAUCUCCACCCACCAGCCAGUAAGCGACCCAAUCUAUUCUGCAGCUCGGGCCGCCUUCUCAACUACAGACUAGAUACUGAAUUCUGUGCUGAUCGAUGCCCGGUUUUCCCAAAUCUCAAACCAUAGUGAUUUUGUUCUGUUGUUUUCAUGUCACUUGGAAUGACACAUGGGGGAUUUGUAUAGCACUCAUUAAAUCCGAUUGCAUCAUU